AUAGUGUGACUUGUUUCUGGACAAAAACAUCUUCAGUAUUGGUCCCACAGAUGAAACAUUUCAUUAUUAAAUGCUGAUGGAUUCCAGUCAAGUCACGACACAGGAGCCCCGGCCAUUAGCACCAUCCAUAACUGUGGGAUAGAACUUAGUUCCCUGACUAGGGAUCAAACCCAGGCCUUCAGCCGUGGAAGCAUGGAAUUCUGACCACUGGACCACUAGGGAAUUCUGCCAUGUUCAUUCAAAAUGAUUGUUUUAAAGGGCCCAUAACCUGUUUGUAGUACUAAGUACUUCUUCAGAGUGACCAUUACAGCAAAAUUAACUUCUGAUGAAAACUCCCUUUAACAAAGACCAGACUAAAAUGCACAGGAGAAAAGUCCCUGUCCUGCGGCUACCCAGGGGUCUAUGUUUGUUGAAAGCAUGUUAGCAUCUUCUCAUCCCAAGAAUUGGCUACAAGAAACCCCUCAUCUGAGCUACCAGAAAU